rnacentral:rRNA from 1 species
CGAAUGGGCGAAAGCCUGACGCAGCAACGCCGCGUGCGGGAAGAAGGCUCUCGGGUUGUAAACCGCUUUCAGUAGGAACGAAUUUGACGGUACCUGCAGAAGAAGGUGCGGCCAACUACGUGCCAGCAGCCGCGGUGACACGUAGGCACCAAGCGUUGUCCGGAUUUAUUGGGCGUAAAGAGCUCGUAGGCGGUUCAGUAAGUCGGGUGUGAAAACUCGGGGCUCAACCCUGAGCUGCCACCCGAUACUGCUGUGACUUGAGUCCGGUAGGGGAGUGGGGAAUUCCUGGUGUAGCGGUGAAAUGCGCAGAUAUCAGGAGGAACACCGGUGGCGAAGGCGCCACUCUGGGCCGAGACUGACGCUGAGGAGCGAAAGCAUGGGUAGCAAACAGGAUUAGAUACCCUGGUAGUCCAUGCCGUAAACGUUGGGCACUAGGUGUGGGUUCCAACCAACGGAAUCCGUGCCGUCGCUAACGCAUUAAGUGCCCCGCCUGGGGAGUACGGCCGCAAGGCUA